rnacentral:rRNA from 1 species
GAAACUGCGAAUGGCUCAUUAAAACAGAUACAGUUUAUUUGAUGGUCAUUAAGUAUAUGGAUAACUGUAGUAAUUCUAGAGCUAAUAUAAUACAUGCGCCCAGACCCGACUUCGUAGAAGGGUUGUGUUUAUUAGAUACUGAACCAACCCAGGCUCUGCCUGGUAUUGUUGUGAUUCAUAAUAACCUACCGAAUCGCAUGGCAUCCGCUGGCGAUAGAUCAUUCAAGUUUCUGACCUAUCAGCUUCCGACGGUAGGGUAUUGGCCUACCGUGGCAAUGACGGGUAACGGGGAAUUAGGGUUCGAUUCCGGCAGAGGGAGCCUGAGAAAGGGCUACCACAUCUAAGGGAGGUAAUGACAAGAAAUUACAAUACAGGGCAAUCAUGUCGUGUAAUUGGAAUGAGUAGAAUUUAAAUCCCUUUACGAGUAUCAAUUGGAGGGCAAGUCUGGUGCCAACAGCCGCUGUAAUUCCAGCUCCAGUAGAGUAUAUUCAAGUUGUUGCUGUUAAAAAGCUCGUAGUUGGAUUUCGGCUGAGGACGACCGGUCCGCCCUCUGGGUGAGUAUCUGGCUCGGCCUGGGCAUCUACUUGAAGAACGUAGCUGCACUUGACUGCGUGGUGCGGCAUCCAGGACUUUUACUUUAUGGAAAUUAGAGUGUUUCAAGCAGGCACACGCCUUGAAUACAUUAGCAUGGAAUAAUAAUAUAGGACCUCGGUUAUAUGUUGUUGGUUUCUAGAGCUGAGGUAAUGAUUACUAGUGAUAUUUAGUGGCAUUCGUAUUUAAUUGUCAGAGGUCAAAUUAUUGGAUGUGUUAAAGACGGACUACUGCGAAAGCAUUUGCCAGGGAUGUUUUCGUUGAUCAAGAACGAAAGUUAGGGGAUCGAAGACGAUCAGAUACCGCCCUAGUCUUAACCAUAAACCAUGCCGAUUAGAGAUUGGAGGUCGUUAUCUAUACGACUCCUUCAGCACAUUAUGAGAAAUCAAGGUCUUUUGGUUCCGGGGGGAGUAUUGUCGCAAUGCUGAAACUUAAAUGAAUUGACGGAAGUGCACCACCAGGAGUGGAGCCUCCGGCUUAAUUGGACUCAACGCAGGGAAACUUACCAGGUCCAGACAUAGUAAGGAUUGACUGAUUGAUAGCUCUUUUUUGAUUCUAUGGGUGGCGGUGCAUGGCCGUUCUUAGUUGGUGGAGUGAUUUGUCUUGCUAAUUCCGUUAACGAACGAGACCUUCACCUGCUACAUAAUUAGAUGUAACCUCGGUUACGUGGGCAACUUCUUAGAGGGACUUUGCGUGUCUAACGCAAGGAAGUUUGAGUGGGCUGCACACGCGCUACACUGAUGCGUUCAACGAGUUUAGGACCUUGCCCGAUAGGGUUUGGUAAUCUUUUUACAACGCAUCGUGAUGGGGAUAGAUCAUAGCAAUUAUUAUUCUUCAACGAGGAAUUCCUAGUAAGCACGAGUCAUCAGCUCGUGCUGAUUACGUCCCUGCCCU